rnacentral:rRNA from 1 species
GACGAACGCUGGCGGCGUGCUUAACACAUGCAAGUCGAACGGAAAGGCCCCAUUGGGGGUACUCGAGUGGCGAACGGGUGAGUAACACGUGAGUAACCUGCCCUUGACUUCGGGAUAACUUCAGGAAACUGGGGCUAAUACCGGAUAGGAAUCCUUGCUGCAUGGUGGGGGUUGGAAAGCUUCGGCGGUUUUGGAUGGACUCGCGGCUUAUCAGCUUGUUGGUGGGGUAGUGGCUUACCAAGGCUUUGACGGGUAGCCGGCCUGAGAGGGCGACCGGCCACAUUGGGACUGAGAUACGGCCCAGACUCCUACGGGAGGCAGCAGUGGGGAAUAUUGCACAAUGGGCGGAAGCCUGAUGCAGCAACGCCGCGUGCGGGAUGACGGCCUUCGGGUUGUAAACCGCUUUCAGCAGGGGCGAAGCUUUUGUGACGGUACCUGCAGAAGAAGCACCGGCUAACUACGUG